rnacentral:rRNA from 1 species
AUGGCCCGCAUAAACUUUGGUGUCAUCACCCUGAUCCCCAAAGUAGUUGGGGCGACGGAAAUUCGCCAAUUCAAACCUAUCAUAGCUAUCAAUGUUCUGGAGCGCAUCUUCUCUAAUGUAUGCGCUACUAGACUCGCACCGGUAGCUGAGAGGAUGAAUCACCCUCUCCAGAAAGCAUUCCUGAAGGGGAGACGAAUCCAUGACGGGAUUUUGUCCCUUCACGAGAUUGUCCACGAGGUAUGAUCGCACGGGCAGAAGGGUGUCUUUCUAAAGCUGGACUUCCAGAAAGCAUAUGACCGGCUAGACUGGUCCUUUCUCCGGCUAGUCAUGCAGCGCAGAGGCUUUAAGGAUAGAUGGCGCAACUGGAUUAUGCAGUUGGUACAGUCUGGCAAGACGGCGAUUAACAUUAAUGACGAGGUGGGGGCAUUCUUUUCAUCCUCUGCGGGAGUGAAGCAAGGGGACCCGAUAUCCCCUCUUCUCUUCAAUCUCCCCGUGGAUGCAUUGGCGGGAAUCCUGGAUAAAGCUAGGAGGGCCGGCCACCACUCGGGAGUUGUUGGUCAUCUCAUUCCGGGAGGAGGGGUCACCCAUCUCUAG